rnacentral:rRNA from 1 species
GAUAAACGCUGGCGGCGUGCAUGAGACAUGCAAGUCGAACGGACGAUCGAGGCUUGCUUCGAUCGUUAGUGGCGGACGGCUGAGUAACGCGUAGGUGACCUGCCCCGAAGUGGGGAAUAACUGCCCGAAAGGGUGGCUAAUACCGCAUGUGGUGGUGUGUUCAAUCACACCAGUAAAGCCGCAAGGCGCUUCGGGAGGGGCCUGCGUCCGAUUAGCUCGUUGGUGGGGUAACGGCNCACCAAGGCGACGAUCGGUAGGUGGUCUGAGAGGACGAUCACCCAGACUGGGACUGAGACACGGCCCAGACUCCUACGGGAGGCAGCAGUCGGGAAUUUUGCGCAAUGGGCGGAAGCCUGACGCAGCAACGCCGCGUGGGGAUGACGGCCU